ACGAGAGAAUUGGGUGGAAGUGAUGGCAAAUCUAUAAAAUUCAAAAAUCGGAUGAGAUGCGAGUACCGCAAAAUGUGGUGUCGACUCUGACUCUCUUUUACUACGAACUUCCGUUCGAUGGAAGAUAUCGAGAGCUGAGCUGAGCGCCCGCUGUGUAUGGCUGGUGUAAUUACAAACGAGUUACGGUUGGAGCUAUAUCGAUUGUACGUAUCCCGAACGUUCAUCGAACAAGCCAGAUCAACUCGGCGCCCGGUAAGAUGUACGCUCAGUUAUGGCCAUGACACACGAAGGGAGAAUUCAAACGGCUGUGAGUGUACGGCCCGCCCGGAGUUGUGUGUAGGCAGUGACCUCUCAAGAAAAAACGUAAAAAAUUUUUUUUUGACAGUCACCGGUCUGCGACAAGUAAUCAGUACGAAACUUGGGUGCAAUGCAAAAAACAUUUUUGAGAAUCCUUGCUUGACAACAACGAAUCUAACACGAUAAAAAAACGAUCCCCAUNGGUGUACCGCUUGCUUUUCUCGCGCUUCGNGANAUNGCUUAUNCAGCUGCCCUUGGAAUAUGUUUCGUUUCGUGCAUACUUGAUCUCGGUCAUUCUUCGGGUGAACUCUUAAAGAAUUGCGCACUUUUAUAGGGGUAGUCUGGUUGCUUGUCUCGACUUGAAAUGAUUUGUUUUUUCCGCCCAUGACUUUCUAUACGAUGCCUCUAUGCUGGCCUCUGACCGCGGUUGUUCCGAGUUUUCUCUUUCUCUUCGAAAGUCUUUGCGGAAAAUUCUGCCUCGUGUGACCGUUGAGCGGUGAGGUGUGUGUGUGUGUGUGUGUCGUGCGGGGUGAUGCGAGAGUGUGCCUCGGCGGUGGAAAAAUAAAAAUAAAACUCUGAGCCCACAAAAAUUUAAAAGAUGUAUGCUUGUCAGCUUAGUAAAGCAGGCUUGACUUAUGAGCAUACAGCACGCCACAUAUGACCGUCGAAAACGUAAUACGGGAAAAAAGUUGAUGAAUAUAUCAAGACCGGUCGAAUGAAUCCGAUUCACUUUGGGCUCAUAGACCGUUGAAUGGUCUUUGACUUUGGAAAUUGAAAUGAAAAAAAUCCAACAAACGGAUCGGAUCGGUGUUUCUCUUCACUGGGACUCGCUGUGACACGCCAGGCGUUGCGAUCAAAAAUUUUAGUUUCCGAAGAAAAAGAAAAAAACGAAAAACGUGUUGAUUUGGUGUGUGUUUGGUGAUGCGUGGGCGAAAUAAAAACCCGCAACUCGCCGGAUGUACAUCAAACAAACAUACACGAAA
rnacentral:misc_RNA from 1 species